UACGGGGGGGGCAAGCGUUGUUCGGAUUUACUGGGCGUAAAGAGCGCGCAGGCGGUCGUUCAAGUCGCGUGUGAAAGCCCCCGGCUCAACUGGGGAGGGUCACGCGAUACUGAUCGACUCGAAGGCAGGAGAGGGUAGUGGAAUUCCCGGUGUAGUGGUGAAAUGCGCAGAUAUCGGGAAGAACACCCGUGGCGAAGGCGGCUCUCUGGGACGGUACUGACGCUGAGACGCGAAAGCGUGGGGAGCGAACAGG
rnacentral:rRNA from 1 species